rnacentral:tRNA from 1 species
AAGAUUUUAAGUAAAAAAUACUAUUUAUUUUCAAAAUAAAAAUUAAUUUUAAAAGUUAAAUCUUA